rnacentral:rRNA from 1 species
CUAAGUGAAAUUACCUACUUGAAUGCUCUGUAUGAUCUUAGAGGCUAAGCAGGGUUAGGCCUGGUUAGUCCUUAGA